CUUCUUCCAAUCAUCUUGUAUUGCUUUCGAAUUCAUACUUAGCAUAUUUGCAUUCCCGAGUUGUCUUUUAGUUCAACUUUCGAAUAUUUGCAUCCUUAGUCCCUGAACUAUCACUUUGCUCCAUUUUAGUCCUUUUUCGGCUCUCUUAUCCUGAAUUUCACUAUUUCCAUAGAAACACCUACAUUGCAUGAAUUCAAUGAGAUUAAGUCACAAUUCAAUCAUUUUGCUUGUAUUUAAGUCAUGUUUG
rnacentral:lncRNA from 1 species